AGGAGUCGCCGCCCCGAGCUCCUCCCGGCCUGGCCCGCGUCCUCCUCCCGUCUCCGGGUGGCGAAAGGACGAUCAGCGCCCUGGACUGGGUGUGUGUGACCCCAGACCGUCGCUUCUGUUCUUGAGCAGGUCCUUCCUCUCGGAGGCUCAGUUUCCCCUUUGUUAAGUCCCCAUAGCACCGUCACCUCCCAGGCUUGGUAGCCUCGCCCCGAGCACAUGGCCCACGUUCAAUUUAAGGGUGUUAUUGUAAUUCCUUUUCUACUGCCUGAUCCGAAGAGGCCAUUUGUAAGACCAUUAAUCCUGAGUAUUCUUUAAAACAAAAGGCUUUGUGUGUUCCCAGGUCGAUAGAAGCUUCCUUUUUCUGAGGAUAAGCUCCAGGGUCCACCUAGUGAUUUUGGAAAAAGUGGUUUAUAAAAAUAUAAAGGAAAAGAUGGCAGAGGGUUCACCUGUAACUUUAACAGCUGAAUCUAGAGCCUGAUCAAACUGGAGAGAAGAGUGAUUACCAAGAGUUUUCUCUACCCUACCCCCCACAUAACUUUUUGUCACCAAGAAUCCGGUCUAGGGUGCAUGCAGCCUUGGGGUAUCGUUCAGCUUUGUUUUUUUCUCUUUUGCUGCCUUUCCCCGGAAACUUUCACCGUGGGUAAUGUGUAACGUGGCUAUGGCCGAGUCGUUAGUGCAGGGAUUGUCCAACCCCUGGAGUCAAGCCAGUCUCCAGCAGCUUAUAUGAGGCUGGUCUAGCAGAGGCAACAGGGCAGGACGUCUCCUGAAAAGAAAAAGAACCGUCACAUGCAGAAGAAUUACAUUUUUGGCACAAGACAGAAAGUGCUACAUUCUAGGUGAGAGACACAUGCACGGGGUUCUCUGGAUUCAGAGGAAGAUGAACCCCGCAGGCGAGCUGGCAGGAAGUCUGAUUGCAGACUGGGAGGAUGACACGGGCCAAAGGAGAGAAGAAAAACAAGGCAGCCAGAGGUACUGAAGCACUUUGCAGAGAGCUGCAGAACUUCCCAGGCUUUUCUGGAGAAAGGAAGAAAAGGAGAGUAAAGAGCAGGAAGAGAAUUGUUUAACAACUGCCUGCAGAAAGGCUGACGAGUGGAUUUGCCUAUUGAUUUUGUUUUUCCAAGUCAGGGGAAGAAGGUGGGUGCCCUUGGCCUGGCUGCUUGCUGACCUGACAUCUUCUCGGGCCUGGGUGUUGAGCCUGCUGCCCUGGGCAGCUUGAGGAGGGAAGUGGAAUGCCCUCCAAAGCGGAUGUCUAAGCACUCUGAGAGUUCGAAUGGUUUAGUUUUGCCUUUAAAGUGUUUAUAUGUAUUUACUUCUCAAAUAAGUACACUUACACGUUCAAAACUAAAAACAUAAAAAUAUAAAAAGAUAUAUACAGGACUGGGGAUUUAGCUCAGUGGUUCCACCUUCUGCCUUGCGAGUGCAAGAUCCUGAGUUCGAUCCAUUCCUAUCCCUUAUAUGUACAGUU